AAAGAUUAUGCAUUUCAUCAGUCAUUACUUGUUUUGAUGUGUUCAUCAAUGAACUGACUUCUUCGGGAUCAACAUGAGCAAUGGAAACGCCAUCCAGUGAAGCCAUCCAGAAGUUGCAAGCAACACUCUAUGGCCAGAAUCUGUGAUUAUAAUUGAGAAUGAAAGUGAAUUCAGCACAGAAAUGAUCGAGGAUAAUUCAUUGGUCUCUGAGGGCAAAAUAGAUGGCGCGAUGAAGUCGCUGUUGGACAGAUUUGAGGGCGACGAUGAGAGGAAAAGUUUCCGAGGCCACAACUAAAGUCUAAAGUUUCUAGUUCUGAGUGGUCGGCAACAUAUAUACACUG